rnacentral:rRNA from 1 species
GACCAGACUCCUACGGGAGGCAGCAGUGGGGAAUAUUGCACAAUGGGGGAAACCCUGAUGCAGCAACGCCGCGUGAAGGAAGACGGUUUUCGGAUUGUAAACUUCUGUUCUUAGUGAAGAAGAAUGACGGUAGCUAAGGAGCAAGCCACGGCUAACUACGUGCCAGCAGCCGCGGUAAUACGUAGGGGGCGAGCGUUAUCCGGAUUUACUGGGUGUAAAGGGAGCGUAGACGGUUCUGCAAGUCUGAAGUGAAAGCCCGUGGCUUAACCGCGGAACGGCUUUGGAAACUGUGGAACUGGAGUGCUGGAGAGGCAAGCGGAAUUCCUAGUGUAGCGGUGAAAUGCGUAGAUAUUAGGAGGAACACCAGUGGCGAAGGCGGCUUGCUGGACAGUAACUGACGUUGAGGCUCGAAAGCGUGGGGAGCAAACAGGAUUAGAUACCCUUGUA